CUACUCAAGCCACACCCUGAUUGAUCCACCAAUCCCUACUACUACAGGUGUAUAAAUUCUAAUCGUCAAGCUAAUGACAUUAACCAAGCGCUACGUGGGAGGCAACCCAUGGUUUUUCUUUCAUUUUACUUUUUCGCAUUUUAUUAUUUUUAUUUUUAUUUUAUUUUAUCAUAUUUUGCAUUGAGACUAAAAUUUGAAUGGUUUGCACUUUCAGGAUCACUUUCUUAACUUUUACAGGAUGCAGGAUUUCGAUGACAUGCACGUGGCCUAAUUUUAUCAUAUUUUGCAUUGAGACUAAAAUUUGAAUGGUUUGCACUUUCAGGAUCACUUUCUUAACUUUUACAGGAUGCAGGAUUUCGAUGACAUGCACGUGGCCUAUAG
rnacentral:lncRNA from 1 species